CUUGUGGGUUGUCUCUGAUAUGAAGUACUUUCUCUUCUGAGAUCAGUUUAAAUAGCAGCACUCGCUGAGAAGUGAAAGUUUGUGGAGCAGAGCAGGCAGAACAGGAGGACCAGCUCACAGUGCUGACUCUCUUACUGCUGUUAUUACACUGUAACGUUGUAGUUUCCAGAAUGGUCCGGGCCCUGAUCUGGACGUGUCUUCUUCUGUGUGCGAUGGUUCAUAUCACAGUCUGUUUUAAUAAUGACAAAGAGAUUCACUGUCCUAACAUAACAGCUACUGUCGGAGAAAACGUAACACUGACCUGCAAUGUUUCAAAAAACGGCAAUUGUUCAAAGUAUAAAUGGAUUAAGAAUGAAACAAAAAACGGCACUUGUUCAAAGUAUAAAUGGAAGAAUGAAACAAAAAAUGAACUUGAAGUGAAAAAAUGCAGCUCAGUUAAUGAUAGAAAAUUUAAUUACACAAUUAAGAAUGCAUCCAUGACAGACAAUGGGACUUAUAAAUUUUGGAUACAGCUGACCACUAAUUCUCUUUACACAUUCUUCACUGUAAAUAUAUCAGGUACUUUUCCUUUAUAUUUAGAUAUGUAGAUAUGUCUGUGUUUGUGCAGUGCUAACUGUUAAAUAAUCACACUGUUUUGCUGUAUAAUGUUGUGCAGCUGUUUUACACUAAUGUGACAAAAGUCAUGAGACAGACAGACAGACACAUAGAUUUGCCUGUGGAUCAGUAAACUUUAAAAUAUUUUUUUACACUCACACAAUCACAUCUUUGUAUACAGAGGUAUCAAGUAAUGAAUUACAAAUACUUUAUCUUACUAAAGUAGAAAUGUUGUUUAUCUAUACUUUACUGGAGUAAAUACUUUUCCCAUGACUUUUUACAUUUACUCCUUACAUUUUCUUAAAAUCUUAAAAUAGUAUCAUUACUCUUAUUUAAUUUCAGCUUGUUUUCAUUCCGGCUUCUCAUCAUUAAAAACACAAACCUUAUC
rnacentral:lncRNA from 1 species